UACGGGGGGAGCAAGCGUUGUUCGGAUUUACUGGGCGUAAAGGGCGCGUAGGCGGUCGUGACAAGUCACUUGUGAAAUCUCCGGGCUUAACUCGGAACGGUCAAGUGAUACUGUCGGACUAGAGUACAGAAGGGGCAACUGGAAUUCUCGGUGUAGCGGUGAAAUGCGUAGAUAUCGAGAGGAACACCUGCGGCGAAGGCGGCAUCCUGGACCAACACUGACGCUGAGUGAGCGAAAGCCAGGGGAGCAAACGGG
rnacentral:rRNA from 1 species